rnacentral:rRNA from 1 species
GACGAACGCUGGCGGCGUGCUUAACACAUGCAAGUCGAACGAAGUGGCGCACGGGUGAGUAAUACGUGGGUAACACGCCCUCCUUUUUGGGAUAAGCCUUUGAAACGGGUUCCAAUUCCGAAUAACGGGUGAUGGGAUCGCGGCUUAUCGGCUUGUUGGUGGGGUGAUUGCCUACCAAGGCGGUGACGGGCAGCCGGCCUGAGAGGGUGCCCGGCCACAGUGGGACGGAGAUACGGCCCAGGCUCGUACGGGAGGGAGCAGUGGGGGAUAUUGCACAAUGGGCGAAAGCCUGAUGCAGCGACGCCGCGUGGGGGAUGAGGGCUUUCGGGUUGUAAACCUCUGUCGCUAUGGAACGGGUAGGUGGAGAAGAAGCGCCGGCUAACUACGUGCCAGCAGCCGCGGUAAUUC